UCACUCUCGGAACUUGUAUCUUGUG
rnacentral:piRNA from 1 species